rnacentral:lncRNA from 1 species
CUCCACUAUGAUUAUGGUAGAAAUAUCUUCCUAGGAUAUUACAAGUAAUAUCACAGAGUGCAUAAACAUAGUGUACAUCCACUGUGAUAUUAGGAGAAAUAGCUCCCUAAUACAUUACGAGUAACAUUACAUGGUGUACACACACUGUGAUAUUAGGAGUAACAUCUCCCUAGGAUAGUACAUGUAAUGCCACAUGGAAUAUACACAUGUUGUACACCUACCGUGAUAUUAGGAGUAAUAUCUCCCUAGGAUAUUGUGAGAAAUUUCACAGGGUGCAUGCACACGGUGUACUCCCACCGUUUUAUUAGAAGCAAAAUCUCCAGAGGAUAUUAUGUAUAUCAGAGGGAAUACACACAUGUUGUACACCCACUGUGAUAUUAGGAGUAACAUCUCCCUAGGAUACUGCGAGAAAUUUCACAGGGUGCAUGCACAGGGUAUACUUCCACUGUUUUAUUAGGAGCAAAAUCUCCAGAGGAUAUUAUGUGUAAUAUCAGAGGGAAUACACACACGUUGUACACCCACUGUGAUAUUAGGAGUAAUAUCUCCCUAGGAUAGUACAUGUAAUAUCACAUGGAAUACACACAUGUUGUACACCCACUGUGAUAUUAGGAGUAAUAUCUCCCUAGUGUAUUACAAGUAAUAUCACAGUGGGUGUACAUUAUGUGUGUACACCCACUGUGAUAUUAAAAGUAACAUCUCCCUAGAAUUUUAUCAGUAAUAUCACAGGGUGUACACCCUCUAUGAUAUUAGCAGUAAUAUGUUUUUAGAAUAUUACUUGAAAUAAUACAGGGUGUACACACAUUUUAUACACCCACUGUAAUAUUAUAAGUAAUAUCUCUUUAGGACAUUGACUAAUAUCACAGAAUGUACACCCACUGUGGUAUUUGAAGUAAUGUGUUGUUGGUUAUAAUGAGUAAUUUCACAGGGUGUGCAACCACUGUGAUAUUAAGAGUAUUAUCUGCAUAGGACGUUGGGAGUAAUAUCACAGGGUGUACACAUGUGGUGUACACCCACUCUGAUUUUAGAAGUAAUAUCUCCUUAGGGUAUUAUGAGUAAUAUCACAGGGUGUACACACAUGGUGGAUGCCCACUGUGAUAUUAGGAGCAAUAUCUCCUUACUAUAUUAUGAGUAAUAUUACAUAGUGUACACACAUGGUGUACACCCACUGUGAUAUUAGGAGUAAUAUCUUCCAAGUAUAUUAAGAGUAGCUUCACAGGGUGUACACACAUGGUGUAAACCCAUUAUGAUAAUAGGAGUAAUACCUGUCUAGUAUAUUAUGAGUCAUAUCACAGGGUAUACACACAUGGUGUACACCAACUGUGAAAUUAGGAGUAAUAUAUCCGUAAGAUAUUAUGAGUAAUAUUACAGGGUG